CCCACUGAGCAAGGCUAGGGAUCAAACGCGCAAACCUCAUGGUUCCUAGUCAGGUUCGUUAACCACUGUGCCAUGACACGACGGGAACUCCUGGAAAUAGUAUUUAUAAAAUAUCUAACCCAGGAUUUGGCAUAUGUUCAACAGCAAUUAAUUUCAUUUCUUCCCCCAAAUAGGCCUAUGUGUGACUAGAGAUGGUGGGAGUAUAAGAAAAAGGACAACUCAUUAUUGAUGUUUCAGAUGCCGUCAUGUUAUGGAUGACACUGGCAGGGACCCCAAGGGAGCCUGUUUACCAAGAUAUACAUGGCUUCUUGCAAAGCCAUUCUUUUUGUUGGAAAAACUCUUCCAGGGAUAAUGUCAGUUUCAUAUAUGGGAAGAACAUAGCCCUCUGGAACCCUAGACAGCCAUGAGGACUCAAAAAAAAACCAAUGUUGAUAGAAACGUUGACCAGGUAAGGGGCUGGGGCUUCAGUCUCCGGAAAUGGUAAAGGUAAACCCUUUAGCUGCAGUGAAAACUGUACAUAAAUGUUGGGUUUUAUAGAGCUGCGGGACUCUGUAGCAAUAUUCUAUAAAAAGCCUUUAUUGGAUUCUCAGUGGGGCAGUGAUCUCUCGGGGUUGUAGUUUCCAGGGAGCAGUCUCUGGUCCCCAAGUCAUGCAAAGAGGGGCUGACACCUGGCCUUCAGCUGACUGUGUCCCACACUGUGGGAGCUGCUGAAGGAGUGACCAAGAGCUUUGAAUAAUCUAUGUUUAGUCUGGAUUGCAGCCUCUCGAAAUUCAUAUGUUAAAGCCCCAACCCCUAAUGUGACUGUCUUUGGAGACUGGACCUUUAAGUAGGUUAUUCAAGUUAAAUAAGGUCAUAAGAGCGAGGCCCUGAGCCAACAGAAUGGGUGUCCUUAUAGGAGGGAGAGACACCAGAAUACAGGCACACAGAGAAGAGGCCACCUGAGGACACAGCCAGAAGGCGCCCGUCUGUAGUUCUUGCCAGACAUCUACCCUGCCAGCACCUUGCUCUUAGACGUCCAGCCUCCAGAACUGAUGAGACCUAUCUCUGCUGGAGAACGUUGGGCAUCUUAAUAGAUAAGAUAAUGAAGCGAAGCCUUAACAGCAAACACUCAUUAAACUUUAACGAUUUCUAUCUACCCUCGUCCCACAAGCAGCUUCCACACAUGCCUCUGCGCAGCUGUGGCCUCAGGACUGAGGCGCAGUGUAGACCGUGUUCAUCGGAACGGCGUUGGAUGACUUUAUUGACCAACUCGGCUCAGCUUUUCUAAGGGGAAAAGCUCUGUUCGUACCAAAGGCUUCUCCAGGCCCUUCCCCAACACCUCUGAUUAAACAGGCUGAGCUCCCCAGAGAACAAUCCGCACCAGGAUGCAGCGAAGCCCAGCAGUGGUCUUUCCUGAUGCUCUGGUCCUCCUCGCCCUGCCCGCUGACGGAUGACUCCGCUCCGUGACUUUACUGAACUCCAGUUCGCCCACCUCCCCACACUCGUGUCCUCAGCUGUAAGCAGGCGCACUUGUGACCUGGGAGAGAACCCAAACCAACACCGACCCUGACCCCUGACAGGAGUGUUAGACUCGCAGCAGAGUCAGAUGGGAGCUGCAGGGCAAGGCUCCCCUUACAUGUGGUCUGAACCCAGGGGAGUUCACCUCGCUGAGUUAAACUCGAUGCGCUGUGACUGCCGGGCCAUGGUGCUUCGUAUCUGACUCCCAAGGGACUCUUCCUCAAGUGACUGCAAGCUCCUUGGGCACUUUUCUAUUUUGGCAUCCCCUGGGAUCAUGCAGAGCACAGAGGGAUGCUCAGGCAGAAAGCACCUUGUGUCUCUGUGUCACCUUUUGGUUAAAAGGACUUUAAAAGUCAUGUUCUGGGAUGGCCUGCUUUGUACCUACCAGAGAGCAGGGUUUGCAGAGUCAGGCAACUUUAGGGGUCUGCUUACACUCUAACCUGAUCAGGGACCUGGUUGCUAAGCGACCUUUCAAUGGAGAUUAGUGAUAACAAACUCAGCAAAGAGCUGAGGCUUGAGAAAGGAAUUCAGGUGAUGAAAAUUCUCCUGCUGAUUCAGAAAAAGGCAGUCGCAAGUUUUGAACCUCCUGGAAACCUCAUACCGCUGUCUAAUUUUCUCUCUCUCUGCAAGGCAGCAGGGAUGAGGCAAAGAAACCCAGAAAAAAAGUGAAUUCUUCUUUUGAGAAGUUGUAAGGGGUCAGGAGGCGGUCCUUAAUUAAAUAUCAGAGAUCAAGCCUGGAGAAAAUCAGCUGACCAGGACUCUCGGAAAAUCUGACCAGAUUUGGCCAACACCUGAGAAGGUUAAAAGAUUCAGAGCCAACGAAUUGCACUCCUUAAGGAGGACCGAGAUUAAGUAAAUAAAGGGUGGAGUUCCCGUCGUGGCGCAGUGGUUAGUGAAUCCGACUAGGGACCAUGAGGUUGCGGGUUCGAUCCCU